CCUACGGGUGGCAGCAGUGAGGAAUAUUUGUCAAUGGGCGUAAGCCUGAACCAGCCCAGUCGCGUGAGGGAUGAAGGUUCUAUGGAUCGUAAACCUCCUUUAUUAGGGAAUAAAGUGCGGGACGUGUCCCGUUUUGUAUGUACCUUAUGAAUAAGGAUCGGCCAACUCCGUGCCAGCCGCCGCGGUAAUACGGAGGAUCCGAGCGUUAUCCGGAUUUAUUGGGUUUAAAGGGUGCGUAGGCGGCCUUUUAAGUCAGCGGGGAAAGUCUGUGGCUCAACCAUAGAAUUGCCGUUGAAACUGGGAGGCUUGAGUAUGUUUGAGGCAGGCGGAAUGCGUGGUGUAGCGGUGAAAUGCUUAGAUAUCACGCAGAACCCCGAUUGCGAAGGCAGCCUGCCAAGCCAUGACUGACGCUGAGGCACGAAAGCGUGGGUAUCGAACAGGAUUAGAUACCCGGGUAGUC
rnacentral:rRNA from 1 species